GACGAACGCUGGCGGCGUGCCUAACACAUGCAAGUCGAGCGGGGUCCAACCAGUGGCAACACUGGGGACGACCUAGCGGCGAACGGGUUAGUAACACGUGAGGAACCUGCCCCGAACUCUGGGAUAACUCGAGGAAACUCGAGCUAAUACCGGAUGCCCUCAUCUGAUCGCAUGGUUGGAUGAGGAAAGUUUUUCGGUUCGGGAGGGCCUCGCGGCCUAUCAGCUAGUUGGUGAGGUAACGGCUCACCAAGGCUACGACGGGUAGCUGGUUUGAGAGAACGAUCAGCCACACUGGGACUGAGACACGGCCCAGACUCCUACGGGAGGCAGCAGUGGGGAAUCUUGCGCAAUGGGCGAAAGCCUGACGCAGCAACGCCGCGUGCGGGAUGAAGGCCUUCGGGUUGUAAACCGCUUUCAGCAGGGACGAAAAUGACGGUACCUGCAGAAGAAGCUCCGGCUAACUACGUGCCAGCAGCCGCAGUAAAAC
rnacentral:rRNA from 1 species